UUGCUGUUAGCCCCAAUCCCUGCCUGCUUGCCAGCCUUCACCCCUGCUUUGCCCUAUGAGACUUUUUUGUUUAGUGUUGCCUGCUUUAAGUUCAUUAUGCAGCAUUACAUCAACUGGCUUAUUGUGAUAGAAGUUCAUUCUAUCAUCUGCAAAAUCAGUGUCUGGAGUGAAGAAGUCUUUUGCACUUGCUUGGCACAACCUACUUUUAAUAAGCCCCUGCUACACAGCAGUUGUUGGACCUUGCUCCCAGGUGUUUCAUACUCUUCACUGUGUUGUGUGGAGCUGAUACCAGGUCAAAUGCUUCACAGUUUCUUGCUUCUCCCUUUCCUGGUCAUCCUGAAAAGCAGCAAAGUUGCUUCAUGUGCUCACUGCUGGGAAUCCUGCCAGAGCAUCAUCCCCAUCCCAUGCUCUCCCUUUUGGUAUGUGGACUACUCUUGAAGCUACACUGACGACAGGCACCAGGUCUGUGUCACCUUUCAGCCCUGUAGAAGGGACAGGCAGCAGUAUCGGAGCCAGGCAAAGAGGCUGAUGCUUUAGAACCAGGUCGGUUGGUUUGGGAUCUUUCCAUUUGAAGGCCUCUGGCACAUUAAGAGCCCUCCCCUGAGUUUUUCAUCCUCUUUCAAGCUGCUGUAAUAAACCUCUUUUUCAGUUGGCUCAGCUCGCAGUCUGUGGUAGGUCUCUUGCACUGUGCACAUGCGUGCCCUGAGACAUUGAGCAUCACCAGACUCAGCUCACACACACACUGCACAGGAGCUGCUGGCCUGCAGCGUGCUGUGGAGUUGAGUGGGUCUGCCAGCAGCAUCUGAAUGACCAAAAGCUUUGUGUCACAUACGCAACCUGCCCUGCACCCUGCUCUGCUCUGUGCAGCACCUACCAUUUGUCUCCAGCAAAGCAGACUGCAGUAAGGCUUGGGAGUGCAUUUUAUGUUGUGCACAGCACAUACUGGGUGCAGUCCAAGUCUUCUACAGCUGUAGCAUAACCAAGGGAGGAAAUACGAGAGGCUACAUCUCCCUGAGCAACAGCACCACUUACAGCCUGGUCUCAGAUGCCAGCCUGGGGCCGGAGCCACAGAGCAGCAGCCUGCCAGCACCAGGGAGGAGGCUGGUAUCUGCUUUUCUCUGUGCCUCAGGAUUAGUCCACUGCAGCUGAGCAUGUGCAGUGGCAUCUGUGGCCUGCACCAGUCUGUGCUGAUGAUGGUCUCUGCUGAAUGGCUCUUCUUGCCUGGGGGUGCCUGGGACAUUCAGCUCAGGAGGGUGCCUGUGCCCUGGGUGGAGGCUACAGAGUGGAACAAUAAGUUGAGAUACAGCUUAAAAACAUCUUGGGAAGCUUCUGUCUGCUGCAACAAAGAAGGUGCCUAACAAAGAGGAGAGAACCAUUGCUGAUGCCUUGGUUUGCCAUGGUCUAGGACAGUGGCCUGCCCGGCAGUUACCUGGGCACCAUUUGAGGGUCAGAAUUCAGCCUCUUCCAGACUAUCCCAGCAGCAGAAAGUAUCUGAAGAAUCCCACAGACUCACACCCAACUUUCAAGGCCAGCAUUUCUCCCAGCAUACACAACCCUGCCCAGGAGGCUGCAGGGCUGCAUUAUCUGGAGUUGGAAUCUGGACAUGAGGAGGCAGGUGCUGGAGAAAACAGGCAGGCACAUGAGCAGUCAAAGGCAAGAGCGUUUCAGGUCUGCACACUCAGCAUAUUGCAUCCCAUCCAAGCAGAGCUGGGAUGUUGAAGAAGGAAGACAGGGAACAACGGGGGAUGCGUUGCAGGAAUCUGCCAGGCUGAGCAUCAGGAGUAAGGCAGUAUCAGUGCUCUGUCAGGCAUGGGAACUGCUUGAGGUGAGACUGGAGGAUCAAGAGGAAAAUUACAGUGGAAAAAACAAAGUCUAUUGGACUGCCAUUGCUUGGGGCUCUGAUGAGAGACCCUCUGGCCCCUCAGUGUGUUUGCACCGUUGCUGGAGGCACACAAGUCCCAACAAGGGAGGCUGAUAGCAGGGCAUUCAGGGCAGUCCCUCUCCAGGGCAGCUGAUCCUCAUGGGUCCCCAUGUCCUCAGUGGGCUCACAGUGGCCACCACAGCAGCCCCACUCCUGUGCUACCCUGCCUGGGAGAGGACAAACCAAACCCAAGUGCUAUGGAAUGCCACGCAGCAAGGGAUGCAGCCAGCGCAGGUGGGUGUUCCAAGAGGGGAGCACCCCAGAGCAGAGGGGAUGUCCCCAUGGGGUGCCUGGAGAGCUCGGGUUAGCACCCUGUUGGGCCUUUCCUUUAUAUGAGUGUGAAUCCUCCAGAUGGAGUUCUGGCACAGAGAAAGCUGAUGCUAUUUAAAUGGAGGGUUUAAGGGCUGCCCUGCUCCAGGAAUGGGCUCAGGCUAUGGUUAAGUCAGCAUCAGGUUAGCAGCAGAAGAGAUGGUGCCUGUGCUGGGAAGCACUGCCAGCACAAAGCUCUUAAUAGUCUUUCAAUGUCUGCAAGGCCUUAAAAUCAAUCAAAGGAUUAAUGAAACAAAGCUGGUUUUAUGAUGCAUGAUCCAGCUUUGUGCAAUUGGAUCUAAGUUUGCUUAGGCCCUUCUUUGUGGCUGGGCUUGCUGGUGUGCUGCCUGCAGCCUGGCAGCCUGAGGAGGAGCAGGGCUCCCACCGCUGCCACGGGAGGGAUGCCAAGGAGCACAGCUCAGCACUGCUUAUGCAAGCCAGUCACUUCCCUCCCACUUAAUUCAGCAUUUCUCCUUGCAGAAGCUCACUGAAGUCAGGCACUGACCUCUUCUCACCAGCUCUGUGUGGCUUCUGUGACAUCUUCUUCCAAGGAACAGGCUCGCUUCACACUCUGUGGCCAGGUUGGUUCAGUCCAGCGACGCAGAGGUCGUGAUGCGACAUAACGCGAAGUGAUACCUGGCUGCUGGAUUAUCCCGCUCCCUGGUAUCUGCAUUGACUCCAGAGCCUCAGAGCUUUAGGCCUGUCAGCCACCAGGAGUGCAGCUAUGCAAAUCUGCUGCAAGAAAAUGAGGUCUAUAAAUAAGAGACACCUUGGGCCUCCACAUCAGUGCAAGGUGUCUGAAAUGCAAGUGGAGGAUCACUCCC